UGGGGAAUAUUGCGCAAUGGGGGAAACCCUGACGCAGCAAUACCGCGUGAAUGAUGAAGGCUUUCGAGUCGUAAAGUUCUGUUAUUGGGGAAGAAAAAAAUGACGGUACCCAAUGAGGAAGUCCCGGCUAAUUACGUGCCAGCAGCCGCGGUAAUACGUAAGGGACAAGCGUUGUCCGGAAUAACUGGGCGUAAAGCGCUCGUAGGCGGUUUUAUAAGUUCGAUGUGAAAGGUACCGGCUCAACUGGUAAAGUGCAUUGAAAACUGUAGAACUUGAGUAUUGGAGAGGCAAGUGGAAUUCCUAGUGUAGCGGUGAAAUGCGUAGAUAUUAGGAGGAACACCGGUGGCGAAGGCGGCUUGCUGGACAAAUACUGACGCUGAGGAGCGAAAGCGUGGGGAGCAAACAGG
rnacentral:rRNA from 2 species